GGCGAAGUAAUUUAAAAAUAAACAUGCAUUGUCUAAGCCGAGAAAAUCAAAGCUGAAGUUUAUGUAUUAAUCAGGACAAAUCUUUAUGCGAUUUACAAACAUUGAUUAAACGUUCGUUUCUUUUGUAUUUUCCUCAUGAAUUAUUAAUGAGUUUUAUAAUGACAAAUAGCAUACAGACUUUACAUACUGUUUAAUAAAUGAGCAGGAGUG